rnacentral:rRNA from 1 species
GUACACUCCUGCGGGAGGCAGCAGUGGGGAAUAUUGGACAAUGGGCGCAAGCCUGAUCCAGCCAUGCCGCGUGAGUGAUGAAGGCCCUAGGGUUGUAAAGCUCUUUCACCGGUGAAGAUAAUGACGGUAACCGGAGAAGAAGCCCCGGCUAACUUCGUGCCAGCAGCCGCGGUAAUACGAAGGGGGCUAGCGUUGUUCGGAUUUACUGGGCGUAAAGCGCACGUAGGCGGACUAUUAAGUCAGGGGUGAAAUCCCGGGGCUCAACCCCGGAACUGCCUUUGAUACUGGUAGUCUUGAGUUCGAGAGAGGUGAGUGGAAUUCCGAGUGUAGAGGUGAAAUUCGUAGAUAUUCGGAGGAACACCAGUGGCGAAGGCGGCUCACUGGCUCGAUACUGACGCUGAGGUGCGAAAGCGUGGGGAGCAAACAGGAUUAGAAACCCUGGUAGUCCCAUGA